rnacentral:rRNA from 1 species
CCUACGGGAGGCAGCAGUGGGGAAUAUUGCACAAUGGGGGAAACUCUGAUGCAGCGACGCCGCGUGAGCGAUGACGUAUUUCGGUAUGUAAAGCUCUAUUAGCAGGGAAGAAAAUGACGGUACCUGACUAAGUAGCCACGGCUAACUACGUGCCAGCAGCCGCGGUAAUACGUAGGGGGCAAGCGUUAUCCGGAUUUACUGGGUGUAAAGGGAGCGUAGACGGCUAUGCAAGCCAGAUGUGAAAGCGUGGGGCUCAACCCCAGGAUUGCAUUUGAAACUGUAUAGCUGGAGUGUAGGAGAGGCAGGCGGAAUUCGUGGUGUAGCGGUGAAAUGCGUAGAUAUUAGGAAGAACACCAGUGGCGAAGGCAGCCUGCUGGACGGUGACUGACGUUGAGGCUCGAAAGCGUGGGGAGCAAACAGGAUUAGAUACCCGAGUAGUC